UUUUGUCUCCCACUUUGUUUAUUUCCAACACCCAGACAGAUCACCAUCAAAGCACUAUUUCUUCAUCACUCGUCUUCUCUCCCCGAAAGACAAGUACCUUCAUCUUCAUCCACAACCAACCUCCGUGUCCGACUCAAACGAAAAUCGGGGUUCCAAUCGAAGCGCCCAGUGGAUUUCACUAUCUCUCCACUGAAACCUGCAUCCCUGAUCUCUAAUCAUCAACCCCUCAGCUCUUGACCCCAAAAUUUCGUCAACCAUCAAAACCCUAACUCGCUCUCUCCAACUUAUUACCCAUGCAGGGUCCCCAUCGCUCUGAGCGCAAGGUCAGUGAAGCAGCAAAAACAAAAUCGAAGCUCUAGAGGCGGAGAAGGACUCCCUCAUCAACAGCGAAGCUCUAGAGGCUGAAAGCCAUCUACAGCGAAGCCCUACUUCCCUAAUCGCAGUGAAAGAGGAUUCCAAAUCUACAGAAGCUAAAUUUGUGGCCUCCAUUCUCUCGAAGAAGCAAAAGCAGAAGCAGAAAACCACCAAGCUCGGAAGCUCCAGAACCCACAUCAACAACCUCCCCAAGCUCCUCUCCUACGUCACCCUAACCUCACCGCCUUAGUACUUCAACACUUUGUCAAAAUAGCCGUUUCCUUAACUCGCUUUCUUCGAGCAGCUCUCUCAGCAUCAUCAAAGCACCAUGGGUCUCUCAUCAAAACACCAUCUUCCCACCAUCUUUCACCAUCUUCUAACCAUCUUUUAAAAGUCUGGAUUAGGGUUCUUGGAGGUGGUAAAUUGGGGGUUUUUCGUUCUGUUGAAAUUAGGGUAUUCAAUUUGGGGGUUUGAUGGGUAAAUUGAAGGAGGAGGCACCCAAGAAUAUUGAGUAUGAAAUCGGAGGGAUCCAGAACGAUAGCUCCGUUAUGGCCUUAACAGCGUCAAGAGCAACCUUGUUGGCUCUCACCCAAUCGAAUCUGCUCACCAAUCGGGUUUUAAGCUUGUUCCUGGGUUUCAGACGAAGAUGCAAGAUGCAGGCCAACACUUACGGACCUACGUUUCCGAUGAGGAUGGAUUGCCAACACUUACGAUGGCUUCUGCUUGUGGCCCACUGAGUACACCAACUAUUGGAUGAGCUCCAGCCGGUGGAGGAACGGCGGUGGUGACAUGGUGGGUGAGCUCGCUGAGGCUGCUAGGGACGCAAGUAUUGGAUUGAGGCUUUACCUUUUGUCAUGGGAUUGACAUUGGAGUAUAAUGAAUUCUAUAUGGCCCAAAUGACAGAGUUCCUCACACGGAAAAUUACUAGUUGGCAAAAGAUUGUGUUAUAUAUAGUAUGAGCACACCAGAAGAAGAACACAGUGCCGCAUGUGUGGGUGGUAUUUUACGAGGUAGGAGAUAGAACAUUGUUCUCCAUCUCGGAGGGAUGGGAUUAGCAGGAAGAAAGAGACAGAAUUGCGCGAUUUAUGUUGCUCGUAUCUUAAAGAGCUUGGCAUGAGGCUUGAAUUGUAAGUUGAGAUCAUACUUGUAUUGAUAGCGUCUCAGAUUAGUUAUGGAAACUUUAUCGUUUCUCUGACUGUAUGUUGGAUUUGUGUAAGUUGGAUUUAUCAAUUGUGAAAUAUAUGUGGCUGAGAGUUUCACCAAUUGAUAAAGAUGUAAGUAGCAGCAUAUCCCCUUUGAUUCUCUUUUGUAGUUAUGUAUUUGUUUCCUGUUAUAAAUCCUCUCUCUCUCUCUCUCACAGAUUCAUUUGUUAAUUCUAUCGAAACAUUUCAUUACUUGUUUUCAUGUUUUGUGUCUUUUUUCUUUCCACACAGCUUUUUUAUUUAAAUAUGGUGUUACUAAGUUAAUUGUUUUACUACUUAAGAUAGAAUUGAGUUGGGUGCUCUCAGUUUGUUUUACUACUUAAGUAGCUAGUUCUCCUAAUUAGUAUGUACCAAUGCAUUCAUCGAGCCCAUUAUGGGUCUUCCUUUGUUUGUUAUUUCAAUUUUAACAAGAAGUCCAUGCAAGCAGAAAGAACUGCCUUAGUGUAUUUGUGGCUGCCUUAAUAUUAUUCUAUUACAUGUUAAUUUUUAUAUGGGAUUCACCAUUGAGAGCUUUAACCUCAAAAGGUCGAAUAUCAAUGUGGGAGAAUUGGUUGGUCAAAUAUCAGCUGUUUUGGGAAUAUGUUGGUUUCUAGUUGAUAUAUGGUAUUAAAAUUUCCUUUUUGCCUUUUGGAAUUAUAAUACUGUGUUGCUUAUAGUAUGACUAAUUACUUUCUGUAUUUUUUUGGGCAUCAUUGAAUAGGUUCCUAAGGGGCAUGUUGGAUUCAGGGAGACAACACUUAGUCCUCCUUUGAUUCACUGUCAUAUGGACAUGUGCCUUACAGUCUUACUCAAGGCAGAGUGUUUUUCAGGUUUUUGGGGAUCCUCUUCAACAAGGUUCUGGACUGGCUUUUUUGGCUGAGGUGUCUUUGGUUGGACAUUUGGACAGAAAUUGCAAACCACUCGCUUCAACUUUAAAGGUUUGACACGCUGCACAGACCAAGUUCCUGGAAUAGUGGGAAGACAAGAGUUUGUAUCAAUGUGUUGGUUAUUGAAACCAAGUUCCUGCACAAACUCUAUAUGUGGCAUGUUUUACGUAGUUGUAUCAGCUUUUGGGAAAUGCUUUUAACAUUAAGAGAUAUAUGAAAUAGGUUUGAUUACUCAUUUGA